rnacentral:rRNA from 1 species
CCUACGGGAGGCAGCAGUGAGGAAUAUUGGUCAAUGGACGCAAGUCUGAACCAGCCAAGCCGCGUGCAGGAAGACGGCUCUAUGAGUUGUAAACUGCUUUUGUACGAGGGUAAACGCAGAUACGCGUAUCUGUCUGAAAGUAUCGUACGAAUAAGGAUCGGCUAACUCCGUGCCAGCAGCCGCGGUAAUACGGAGGAUUCAAGCGUUAUCCGGAUUUAUUGGGUUUAAAGGGUGCGUAGGCGGUCGGAUAAGUUAGAGGUGAAAUCCCGAGGCUCAACUCCGGAAUUGCCUCUGAAACUGGUCGGCUAGAGUGUAGUUGAGGUAGGCGGAAUGUGUGGUGUAGCGGUGAAAUGCUUAGAGAUCAUACAGAACUCCGAUUGCGAAGGCAGCUUACCAAGCUCCUUCUGACGUUGAGGCACGAAAGCGUGGGUAGCAAACAGGAUUAGAUACCCCAGUAGUC